GUGUAUAAGCAUCAUGGAAAGCAUCUAGUCUAGCAUUUUCCAAACACUUGCCGGGAACUAUACACUCAUAUAUGGUCAGAUAAGACAGGGCUGUCUCCAGAGAGCCAUAAACUACAUUAAUGUAGCAAAUCAAAGCUCUGAUAAGUCCUGCAGUAAGGAGACCUGUUUAUCAUUUUGUUUCCUCUGACACCUUUUAAAAAUCUGUACCGCCUUCCUUCCAUUUCUCAGGUGCCUCGUGAUAUCUUAAAAUGUACUGUUUGGCAAAUACUGAUUUAGUUCAACUCCUCCUAAGACCUAAGGCCAACAGUAAAACUGAAGCCCAAGACGUGGGAGGAUUUGCCCAAGGCCGCACAAUCAGAAGAAAAUGCAGCCAUCCUGACUCGGAACUGUCUCAGCAGGCCUGGCUUUGAAUUUCAGACGUUGCCAUGGAGGACCAGGGGAUCUCAGAUUUGCAGGAGAGAUAUUAUCAUGAUCCCCAUUCUGCAGAUAAGACAACUGAGGCUCAGAACAGUGAGAAGACUUUCUGAGCAGUCUUCCAUCGGGCAGUGUCGGGAUUUGAACCCAGGUCUCAAAGAACAUCUACGAUCUAUGGUGUAUUGGGGCCUUGCUCUGUGCCCAGCAUUUUAAUAACAGCAGCAUCACAGCAAUAACAAUACUGAACCCUUGUCCGCACUUGACCCCCGUCAGCUCAUUUAAUACAACAAUCCUCAUGCACCAGAACCCCGAUUUCCAGAUAAGGAAACACAGCACGGAAAAGAUAAACAUUCUGUGCAUCCUGCUGGUUAGUGUGGCACAGCCACUUUCAGAACUCAGGCCUGGCCACCAGCCAACUCGGAAUGCCCUGGCUGAACCCCUCCAUCCGCACAUGGCCCCAGCGUGUCUCCUGGCCCACCACCCCUGGCAGAGCCUCUGAUGUUUACAAUUCUGCCCUGGGAGGCUUUGAAAACUCCCCCUACACGCCGCCUGCCCCGCCAGGGCUUGUAUCUGCCCAGCCUGCCUCGCAAUGGCUUUUAUUGAUUCUCUGGCCUGCCAGCCUGUGCCAGGAACACACUCUUUAAUGGAGCGUUAAUUGGGAGGGAAGAGAGAGAAAGCUGUUCCCCUGCCCAGCAGGGAGUGAGUCUCCUGUCUCCUCCUCCUUUCUCCCAGGCUGGGAUGUGGCGGCAAGGACCCCGGGCCUGGCGUCCUGGGCAGGCCUAGACUCUUCCUGCUGCUGACUCAUGGCGUGACCUCGGACAAGUUCCGCUUGGGCCUCAGCCUCCUCAGCUCUGAAAUGGGAGCAGACAGCCCUGCUUCUCAGGGCCGGAGUGAGGAUUACUUGGAAGAAGGAAUCUAAGAGUCUUAGUCCAGUUUUUGGUACCUAGUAGGUGCUCAAUAAAUCAUCAAAUCUCUUCUGGCCUCCCAAUUCCCAAGACAGCCUGAGUUUGAAUCUGGGCGGCCUUGGACAAGUUACUUUCAGCUUUCUGUGCCUCAGUUUCCUCAUCUGUGAAAAGAGGAGACAAACAGGCCCCACCUCCUCUGGUUGCCUUCACUGAGAUGCUACAGCAGUGCCUGCAUGAGGCCGUUUGCUAAAAAUAAUUCUAUGGAGAGCAACAGUUACCAUCAUUUUUGGCCUCCUCUUAUGCUUCUGUGGCGAGCACGUGCCAACCCGUUGAACCGUCACAACAUCGGGGAUGUUAUCAUCACCCCCAUUUUGCAGGGGUCUGGAGCUCUUGUUCCAGGCGUGGGCGCAGAUCCUGGUGGCCUGCCGCAUUCAGGCUCCAGAUGGAGAAAGACCCACGUCAGAGUUCCCUCCGUUGGACACCCCAGGAGCCCAGCACGUCUGCAGCAAAUAGGAGAGGUGUAUGUUCGUGUCUUUUUCCAUUCCCUUUCUCAGACCCCCGAUGGAAUUUCCAGCACGUUCGGCUCCACGGGGGCAGGACCCUCGGUGUCUUGCUCGCAGCAGCAUCCCCGGUGCCUGGAAGGGUGCCUGGUACGUUGUCGGAGCUCAGCAGGUCUUGCCAAGCAGGUGAUGUCCCAUUAGCGACCCAGUGUCACAAUUGCCUGGCUCACAUGUGGCAGACCCUGCACGCAGUAACAGCAUUAGAAUAGGGCUAAAAUUUCCAGAGUGCCUAGAAGGUGCCAGCACCCAGUGGAAUGCUUUCCAAGCGUGCUAUUUAUUUAUUCCUCACCACAGCCCCCCUCCCAGAAGUUCAUACCAUCAUCAUCUCCAUCUGACAGAUGAGGACACUGACUGAGGUUCAACACGGGAGGGCCACCAGCUUGUGGGUUCUAAACCCUGAACUUCAAGCCCCGUGCUCUUUCCUUGGCCAAAUGCCUGGGCAAAAACAAGAUGAUUAAUAAAUGAAGUAAACAACCCACGUGGUCCCUCCCUACCCAAGUCAGUGCCCUCAUAAUCCUACACAGCUAAUGCUUAUUUAUUCAGCUCUAGCUUCCUGCUACUAUUAUGUCCAAAAUUCUUUCCAGAAUGUUCUGAAUAACAGUAAUUCACAAUAGCCACGCUUUCUGUUUUGUGGAGGAAAGUUUUAUUAAUUAUACAGGAAAGGGAAUAUAUGGAAUUAAAUAAUUCGAGUAAACAUAAAGAGGGGGAGAGUAUAGAGAAGAACAGAGAAGGGUUAACACAUCAAAUCAGGUACUCGCAACAUCUAACCUCUGGCUGGGGGAGCCCCUCGGUGAACAGCCCCCUCUGGAGUCCCGACUGAAGGUCCUGGGCAGAAUAUCCUCCCCUCGGGUGAGGCUUCCAACUAUUCCCGCCAGGGCAAUAUAUACACUACCCAUGUGUGAUCUCUGGUUAGUCAUGAAGUUUGCCUAAGUGCAGUCCUGAGCAACCUGGGUUUUUUCUGUGUCUCUUAUCCUAUCUCACAAUCUUAGGAGCCUGGGCCUGUGCACGUUUCUCCUCCUGCCCUGAUCCAUUCCAGGGGACCAGCCUGGUCUGGGCUUGAGAAGGUGAGGCAAGUUAAUCCCCCUUGGCGUCAGGAACAGAAGGGCCAAUUCUGAUCCCGAGGCCAGAUACGGAGCACAAGCCAACUAAGCCCCCCAUGACGGUGUAUGUGUGGCUCUGGGCAGAAAUGCAUGACAAGUCUCACGAACACGCUCUAUACAGAACACAGGGAUCACUUCCUCUGACCACCUCUGCAAGUAAUAAUAAUAAUACUUAUUUAACAUUUUGUAAUAGUUGUCUUUUGCAUAAACUGAUUUAUUUAAUCCUCAGCCAAAUUGCUUUAAGAUAGGUACUAUUAUCCCUGUUCACAGACGACAAUAUUGAGGCACCAAUAUUGAGGCACAGAGAGGUUAAAUUACUCGCACCAGCUCACACAGCUACAAAGUAGCAGAGCUGAUACUCAAAUUCAGACAGUCUGGCUCCAGAGUCUGUGCUCCGCAGCCUGUGGAUAACAGCUCCCCAAACAACAAAAUAGUAAUGAUCUCCACCGUUGCUGGAGAACUCUUAGGUGCCAAGCUCCACUAAAGACCCUACGUUACCUCUGUCAUUCCUUAUGACAACCCUAUGAGAUAGUAGUAUAUUGUUAACUGUUUUCUGUUGAAAACUAAAGGCACAGAGGCAGAUGUGUGCUGAUUGCUAAGCCUGUAUGCUUCGCUGUCCAGUGGGCUAUGCUAUGUGGUCCCCACUGAAUGGCCAGAGCAAGCGCUGUCCAAACCCAUAAGGGACCCGAAAGACCACAGUUCACCAGCCCACCUCUCCCUCCACCUUCUCGUUGGGCCUCCUUCUCUGGAAACUUCUUUGGGCCCUUCCAGACGUUCUCGGUAGAACAAUUGACGCCAGGAACUCACUGAUAUUUGGAAGCCUGGUGGCUGCCUGGGACAAGCCAUCACUGUGUCAACCAGAGAGAUCCUUAUGUGUUACCAGUGUGAAAGCUUCUCGGAGCCAAGGGCUCAGUGGACUCAAUGGGAGCUCCUCUUAGCGGCAUAUGUCCCUGGGAGAAGGGAGUCAGGGGUCAGCUGUGGGAGGAGAGGCUUCACGCAACCCCCUCUCCACCCAUCUUCAAAGAGGGACAUCCCUAGCCAAGGGCUCUCAGGGGCCCUCUACUUAUUCCUGGGCCUUUAUCAGGGCUUUUGAAGUCCCCUUUCACAGCCCGAAUAGUCAUUCUGCAGCCAGGGAAAUAGUAUCUCAACUAACCAGGCUUUUUGUUUUUUGUUUUUUGUUUUUUUUAAAGAAGUAACAGUGUUGGUACUUACUGCUUAAGAAAGAUAGUGAAGCCUGGGGGGUAGGAACCUGAACAGACCCAGAUCGGCUGCUCUGGGCCAGUGGCCUAGCCUCUCUGAACCUCUGCCUUGUCAUCUGUAAAAGGGGGAUGUCAGAAGUACCUACCUAUCUCACUGGAUAAUUGGCAUGGGUCAUGAAGGGGGAAAUGGUUGGGGAGGUGGGCAUGGGCCAGAUGAUGUAGGGCCUUCUGGACCCCAUUUAAGAGUUAGGCUUUGUCCUGAGCAUUUUGAGGACCCAUUGAACUAUUUGGAGAAGGAGAGUGGUAUGAUGAGUUCUAGGAAAAUCACCUGCUACUUGUGGAGAGGGCACUGGGGGACAAAACUCCAGGGAGACCAGAGAAGAGGCUGUUGUAGGGUCCUGGGAAGAUGGUGGCUUGGGCUGGGCUGUUGGCUGAGGAGAGAUAAAGGGUGGACAUAAUCCAUGAUGUAUUAAAGAAGCAGAAACAUUUUGGCUGAGGGAUUGGACUGGAGGAGAGGAGAGGGCACAUCAGACUCCCCGUCUGGUUGUAAGACAUGGGCAACCGCGAGUUGGUGAUGGCGAUCGUUGACCGUGUGUGGAGGAGCAGACACAGGGGAGUGGGGAGACUCCAUUCAUUCAUUUACUCAUGUGUUGAUUCAUCACAUAUUUACUAAGUUCUUAUGUGCAAAGCACUAGACUAGGGGCUAGACAUGAGACACAAGUCUGUGUUCUCACGCCUACCGAUAAGCAAAUUAUCAGUCAACAGUUAAAACAAUUUUAGAUGCUACAAAAGUUUCAUGAAGCAAAUUGAGGCUCCUGGCUACCUUUCUGAUCUGAUUCCCUGCUGUCAUCCACCCCUUGCUCACUGUGCUGGAGUCUUGGUGGCCUUCUUUCUGUCCUUUGGACAGAAGAGCCACACAUAUUCCUGUCUGAGGACUUCCCUCAUGCCGUUCCCACUGCCUAUGACACUGUUCCCCCAGAUUUCCUCAGGACUGGUCUCUCACUUCAUUUGUGUCUCUGCUUAAAUUUCACCUACUCAGAGAAACCUUCUCCAACCAUUUGAUCUGAAGUCAUGUUCUCUGACAUCAGCUGGUUUUUCUUCCUAGCGCCGGCUGCGAACUGAGUUAUAUUUUAGGCCUCGAUUGUUGUCUGCCCCUUCCAUUAGAACCUAAGCUCCGUGGGGGCCGAGGGUAGGGACUGUGGUCUGAUUGUUUAGGGCUGUGUCAUGGGCACCUAGAACAGUACCCAGCACGUAGUUGGGAUUCAGUAAAAUUCAGGGCACGUGAUAGGAAGCAACACACUUCCUGAUGCCGUUGUGGUUGGUAAGAGCCAUGUAACUAGUUGUGGCCAAUGAGUGGUGAGCAGAGGUGAUAUCUGUCACUGUCAGUUCCAAGCAUGUGAGUACCCCAUGGGAGACCUCUGCUCCAUGACGGGAGGACCCUUGGUUGAUUUCUCUUCCUUCUGCACUAUGGUCACCAACAUCUCUGAUGGGUAGGGUGUCCCUGCUGGUCCACAAUGGACAUGGCGGACAGAUGAACCUUUGUUCCCUUAAGACUGAAAUUUUGGAUUUGUUCGUUUGCUCCAUCAUGAUGCAGACAAUUCUGAUGGAUCGACCUCCCAAUUCUGUGUUUUUGUGGUUGUUGGUAUUGCUUCAAAAGAACUUCCUCAAUGUGAAUAUCGUUCUAAUAAACCAGUCUAUCUGCUUCUCUGCCAAGAGCCUUUGCUGGGAAAGUGGUACCUAUUCCUCUCAGUUUGAGACCUUUAGGUCAAGUGCCAUUGGAGGCACAAAUGCAGAGGGGUGGCUCUGAGAUCCUUCCAGGGAAGGAGAGCUGGAGAGCCUGUGAUCUUGAGGCCCCCUUUUUCAUCUCUGAGGUCAGAGCAGGAGCUGGUUUGACCAGUUGGUGACAUGACACCAGGCAACUGCUUUGGAAAGUUUGUUUUGUGUUGUUUUUAGGUCUGGGAAUGACAGCUCCUCGGAGGGUUUGGCCUGAAAGGGUUCUCACGGUUUGUGCUGGGAGGGGAGGAAGGCUGGAGGAGAUGAGGAGGACGUAUAGAGAAGGACAAGGAUAAGCAAGAUACCUCCUUCCGAGCACUCUCUUAGCCUCACCCUGAGUAUGAAUUAAGAUUCAUUU